GGAGAGAUGGCAGAGUGGUUUAUUGCGACGGUCUUGAAAAUCGUUGAAGAAUAUUAAUUCUUCCGGGGUUCAAAUCUCUCUCUCCG
rnacentral:tRNA from 1 species